UGAUUUAUCGGCGGACGGGUGAGUAAUGCCUAGGAAUCUGCCUGGUAGUGGGGGAUAACGUUCCGAAAGGAACGCUAAUACCGCGUACGUCCUACGGGAGAAAGCAGGGGACCUUCGGGCCUUGCGCUAUCAGAUGAGCCUAGGUCGGAUUAGCUAGUUGGUGAGGUAAUGGCUCACCAAGGCGACGAUCCGUAACUGGUCUGAGAGGAUGAUCAGUCACACUGGAACUGAGACACGGUCCAGACUCCUACGGGAGGCAGCAGUGGGGAAUAUUGGACAAUGGGCGAAAGCCUGAUCCAGCCAUGCCGCGUGUGUGAAGAAGGUCUUCGGAUUGUAAAGCACUUUAAGUUGGGAGGAAGGGCAGUAAGUUAAUACCUUGCUGUUUUGACGUUACCGACAGAAUAAGCACCGGCUA
rnacentral:rRNA from 1 species